AACGGAGUCUGACACUUGGGAAAAAGAAGUGGAUAAAGAAGCAAAACAAGAAUAUCAAUAUUAAACUAACUUUCCAAUUGCCGCAAUGCGCCAGGAAAUCACCAGCGAGAAAACCAACAAAAAGACUGCUUACGCCAUCUGAAUCCCCUCUACAACUUAUAUCCAGCAAACUGAUGAAUUAAGUCAUUUAGGUCACCUGUCGCUUCCAAAAAACAAACAUACAAUAACUCUCGAUUAAAGUUAAAGUCUUCAAGAACACUCUUUUUACCUGUAGAGGAAAACAGUGAUAUAUACAGACGAUGUAGAGCACUUCUUAAACACUGGAUUGCAAGUGUGAAGAGCUGCAUAAUACAGACAAUGUAGUCCCCGUUGAUGUGGCUGAUGAAGCAAUGGACUUGAUGAAGUAAUGAUAAAAUUUCUAAAAUUGGUUAAAG
rnacentral:lncRNA from 1 species